rnacentral:rRNA from 1 species
UACAGAGGUCCCAAGCGUUGUUCGGAUUCAUUGGGCGUAAAGGGUGCGUAGGCGGCGCGGUAAGUCGGGUGUGAAAUCUCGGAGCUUAACUCCGAAACUGCAUUCGAUACUGCCGUGCUUGAGGACUGGAGAGGAGACUGGAAUUUACGGUGUAGCGGUGAAAUGCGUAGAUAUCGUAAGGAAGACCAGUGGCGAAGGCGGGUCGUCGUGGACAGUUCCUGACGCUGAGGCACGAAGGCCAGGGGAGCAAACGGG